rnacentral:rRNA from 1 species
AGGAUCUUCCACAAUGGACGAAAGUCUGAUGGAGCAACGCCGCGUGAGUGAAGAAGGGUUUCGGCUCGUAAAGCUCUGUUGGUAGUGAAGAAAGAUAGAGGUAGUAACUGGCCUUUAUUUGACGGUAAUUACUUAGAAAGUCACGGCUAACUACGUGCC